rnacentral:rRNA from 1 species
UACAGAGGGUGCGAGCGUUGUCCGGAAUUACUGGGCGUAAAGGGCGCGUAGGCGGCGACCCAAGUCAGAUGUGAAAGUCCUGGGCUUAACCUGGGGACUGCAUUUGAUACUGGGUUGCUUGAAUUCGGGAGAGGAUAGCGGAAUUCCCAGUGUAGAGGUGAAAUUCGUAGAUAUUGGGAAGAACACCGGUGGCGAAGGCGGCUAUCUGGACCGACAUUGACGCUGAGGCGCGAAAGCGUGGGGAGCAAACAGG